rnacentral:rRNA from 1 species
AUUGAACGCUGGCGGCAGGCCUAACACAUGCAAGUCGAGCGGUAGAGGGGAGCUUGCUUCCCUUGAGAGCGGCGGACGGGUGAGUAAUGCCUAGGAAUCUGCCUGGUAGUGGGGGAUAACGUCCGGAAACGGACGCUAAUACCGCAGACGUCCUACGGGAGAAAGUGGGGGCUCUUCGGACCUCACGCUAUCAGAUGAGCCUAGGUCGGAUUAGCUAGUUGGUGGGGUAAUGGCGCACCAAGGCGCCGAUCCGUACCUGGUCUGAGAGGAUGGUCAGUCACACUGGAACUGAGACACGGUCCAGACUCCUACGGGAGGCAGCAGUGGGGAAUAUUGGACAAUGGGCGAAAGCCUGAUCCAGCCAUGCCGCGUGUGUGAAGAAGGUCUUCGGAUUGUAAAGCACUUUAAGUUGGGAGGAAGGGUCGUUACCUAAUACGUGACGAUUUUGACGUUACCGACAGAAUAAGCACCGGCUAACUCUGUGCCAGCAGCCGCAGUAACAC